AGAGUUUGAUCCUGGCUCAGGACGAACGCUGGCGGCGCGCCUAACACAUGCAAGUCGAACGGAGCUUAGAGAGCUUGCUUUUUAAGCUUAGUGGCGAACGGGUGAGUAACGCGUGAGUAACCUGCCCUAGAGUGGGGGACAACAGUUGGAAACGACUGCUAAUACCGCAUAAGCCCACGGUGCCGCAUGGUACUGAGGGAAAAGAAUUUAUUCGCUUUAGGAUGGACUCGCGUCCAAUUAGCUAGUUGGUGAGGUAACGGCCCACCAAGGCGACGAUUGGUAGCCGGACUGAGAGGUUGAACGGCCACAUUGGGACUGAGACACGGCCCAGACUCCUACGGGAGGCAGCAGUGGGGGAUAUUGCACAAUGGGGGAAACCCUAAUGCAGCGACGCCGCGUGGAGGAAGAAGGUUUUCGGAUUGUAAACUCCUGUCGUUAGGGACGAUAAUGACGGUACCUAACAAGAAAGCACCGGCUAACUACGUGCCAGCAGCCGCGGUAAAACGUAGGGUGCAAGCGUUGUCCGGAAUUACUGGGUGUAAAGGGAGCGCAGGCGGGAAGACAAGUUGGAAGUGAAAACCAUGGGCUCAACCCAUGAAUUGCUUUCAAAACUGUUUUUCUUGAGUAGUGCAGAGGUAGAUGGAAUUCCCGGUGUAGCGGUGGAAUGCGUAGAUAUCGGGAGGAACACCAGUGGCGAAAGCGGUCUACUGGGCACCAACUGACGCUGAGGCUCGAAAGCAUGGGUAGCAAACAGGAUUAGAUACCCUGGUAAUCCAUGCCGUAAACGAUGAUUACUAGUGUUGGGGGAUUGACCCCCUCAGUGCCGCAGUUAACACAAUAGUAAUCCACCUGGGGAGUACGACCGCAAGGUUGAAACUCAAAGGAAUUGACGGGGGCCCGCACAAGCAGUGGAGUAUGUGGUUUAAUUCGAAGCAACGCGAAGAACCUUACCAGGUCUUGACAUCCGAUGCAUAGCACAGAGAUGUGUGAAAUCCUUCGGGACAUCGAGACAGGUGGUGCAUGGUUGUCGUCAGCUCGUGUCGUGAGAUGUUGGGUUAAGUCCCGCAACGAGCGCAACCCUUAUUGCCAGUUACUACGUUAAGAGGACUCUGGCGAGACUGCCGUUGACAAAACGGAGGAAGGUGGGGAUGACGUCAAAUCAUCAUGCCCUUUAUGACCUGGGCUACACACGUACUACAAUGGCGUUAAACAAAGAGAAGCAAGACCGCGAGGUGGAGCAAAACUCAAAAACAACGUCUCAGUUCAGAUUGCAGGCUGCAACUCGCCUGCAUGAAGUCGGAAUUGCUAGUAAUCGCGGAUCAGCAUGCCGCGGUGAAUACGUUCCCGGGCCUUGCACACACCGCCCGUC
rnacentral:rRNA from 1 species